rnacentral:rRNA from 1 species
GGAGGAUGCAAGCGUUAUCCGGAUUCAUUGGGUUUAAAGGGUGCGCAGGUGGGCUUGUAAGUCAGUGGUGAAAUACUGCCGCUUAACGGUAGAACUGCCAUUGAUACUGCGAGUCUUGAGUAUGGUUGAGGUAGGCGGAAUGUGUUGUGUAGCGGUGAAAUGCAUAGAUAUGACACAGAACGCCGAUUGCGAAGGCAGCUUACUAAGCCAUUACUGACGCUGAGGGCACGAAAGCGUGGGGAGCGAACAGGAUUAGAUACCCUGGUAGUCCCACGCCCGUAAACGAUGUUCACUCGCUGUCUGCGAUACACAGUAGGCGGCUGAGCGAAAGCAUUAAGUGAACCACCUGGGGAGUACGAUCGCAAGGCUG